GUGAACGCUGGCGGUAGGCCUAACACAUGCAAGUCGAACGGCAGCACAGUAAGAGCUUGCUCUUACGGGUGGCGAGUGGCGGACGGGUGAGGAAUACAUCGGAAUCUACUUUUUCGUGGGGGAUAACGUAGGGAAACUUACGCUAAUACCGCAUACGACCUCCGGGUGAAAGCAGGGGAUCUUCGGACCUUGCGCGAUUGAAUGAGCCGAUGUCGGAUUAGCUAGUUGGCGGGGUAAAGGCCCACCAAGGCGACGAUCCGUAGCUGGUCUGAGAGGAUGAUCAGCCACACUGGAACUGAGACACGGUCCAGACUCCUACGGGAGGCAGCAGUGGGGAAUAUUGGACAAUGGGCGCAAGCCUGAUCCAGCCAUACCGCGUGGGUGAAGAAGGCCUUCGGGUUGUAAAGCCCUUUUGUUGGGAAAGAAAAGCAGCAGGUUAAUACCCCGCUGUUCUGACGGUACCCAAAGAAUAAGCACCGGCUAACUUCGUG
rnacentral:rRNA from 1 species